ACGAACGCUGGCGGCGUGCUUAACACAUGCAAGUCGAGCGGUAAGGCCCUUUCGGGGGUACACGAGCGGCGAACGGGUGAGUAACACGUGGGUGACCUGCCCUCAGCUCUGGGAUAAGCCUGGGAAACCGGGUCUAAUACUGGAUAUGACUCCAUGACGCAUGUUGUGGGGUGGAAAGCCUUGUGCGGCUGAGGAUGGGCCCGCGGCCUAUCAGCUUGUUGGUGGGGUGAGGCCUACCAAGGCGACGACGGGUAGCCGGCCUGAGAGGGCGACCGGCCACACUGGGACUGAGACACGGCCCAGACUCCUACGGGAGGCAGCAGUGGGGAAUCUUGCGCAAUGGGCGAAAGCCUGACGCAGCGACGCCGCGUGAGGGAUGACGGCCU
rnacentral:rRNA from 1 species